rnacentral:rRNA from 1 species
ACGCUGGCGGUGCGCCUUACGCAUGCAAGUCGAGCGAAGCUUUUCAGUAGUUUACUACAGAAAAUGACUGAGCGGCGAACGGGUGAGUAACGCGUGAGCAAUCUACCUUAGUCACAGGGAUAGCCCGAGGAGACUCGGAUUAAUACCUGAUAUUCUUUAUAUUUCGCAUGAAAUUAAAAGGAAAGGUCAGCCGAACUAAGAUGAGCUCGCGUUCUAUCAGCUAGUUGGUGAGGUAAAAGCUCACCAAGGCUACGACGGAUAGCUGGUCUGAGAGGACGAUCAGCCACACUGGGACUGAGACACGGCCCAGACUCCUACGGGAGGCUGCAGCAGGGAAUAUUGCGCAAUGAGCGAAAGCUUGACGCAGCGACACCGCGUGUGGGAUGACGGAUCUAGGUUUGUAAACCACUUUCAGGAGGGAAGAAAAUGACGGUACCUCCACAAGAAGCCCCGGCCAACUACGUGCCAGCAGCCGCGGUAAUACGUAGGGGGCGAGCGUNGUCCGGAUUUAUUGGGCGUAAAGAGCUCGUAGGCGGUUCAACAAGUCGGUCGUGAAAGUUCAGGGCUCAACCCUGAAAUG